CAAGCCAUGCUGAAGAAAUGGAGGUCGGACGCCUGGGUCCCUUGCUGUUGGGGGAGGGGGAAGCAGCAAGAAUUGGGAGCCCAGAGGUGUUUUUUGGGGGGGUGCUGGCAACAGGGGCUGGACGUCCCUCCCCAGUGCAUCGGAGAGUUGACCUAUCGUCAACUGAGCUGGAGACUAUGGCUUCACUCUGACCUUCGCCUCUGCAGCCACCUGCUCGCUGCCCCCGGCCCCCUCUGGCCCCUUGAGGCCCCCCAGCUUCUGCCUGUGCUGUGAUCCCCCCAGCCGCCGGCACGGC
rnacentral:lncRNA from 1 species